GAUGAACGCUGGCGGCGUGCCUAAUACAUGCAAGUCGAGCGAACGGACGAGAAGCUUGCUUCUCUGAUGUUAGCGGCGGACGGGUGAGUAACACGUGGAUAACCUACCUAUAAGACUGGGAUAACUUCGGGAAACCGUAGCUAAUACCGGAUAAUAUUUUGAACCGCAUGGUUCAAAAGUGAAAGACGGUCUUGCUGUCACUUAUAGAUGGAUCCGCGCUGCAUUAGCUAGUUGGUAAGGUAACGGCUUACCAAGGCAACGAUGCAUAGCCGACCUGAGAGGGGGAGCGGGCACACUGGAACUGAGACACGGUCCAGACUCCUACGGGAGGCAGCAGUAGGGAAUCUUCCGCAAUGGGCGAAAGCCUGACGGAGCAACGCAGCGUGAGUGAUGAAGGUCUUCGGAUCGUAAAACUCUGUUAUUAGGGAAGAACAUAUGUGUAAGUAACUGUGCACAUCUUGACGGUACCUAAUCAGAAAGCCACGGCUAACUACGUG
rnacentral:rRNA from 1 species